AUAUCACUAAUUUAAAUUAGUCACAGAAUAAUUACAACAAUUUUUCUUUAAAUCUUUCAUUUCAGCUCUUUACCUUGACAUACCUGAUUGAAAUAAAGUAAAUAGAAACUAUGAAAUUUUGAAUCUCAGAAAUUAUAAUUCCUCACAGAAAAAAAACUGAAAAAAUAAGAAUAUCAUCUAUGUAAUGUAUACAAAAUUGAUCAAAUUUGUCUAGUAUACUAUUCAGAGCUUUAACUAAACUAGAACAAGCUGAUUGGAGUCCAAAUGGUACAACCAAGAAUUGAUAAACUUGUCCAUCUAUCAUGAAUCCGGUAUAUUGUUGUGAUUCCUUAUGAAGAGGGAUUAACCAAAAACUAUGUAAAAGAUCUAAUUUAGUAAAAUAUUUUGCAUGUGUUAUUCUGCCAAAAACAUGAUUUAUAUUUAUGGGAGUUUCAUAUUGGGGUUUCGUAUAUUGAUUUAAAUUUCUAGCGUCUAAACAAAUUCUAAUGUCACCUGAUUUUUUUUUAACAAUUACUAUAGGAUUUAUAUAACUUGUUUUGCUUUUAACUAUAAUUCCCUUUUGUUGAAGCUUUUCUAACUCAAAUUUAACUUGCUCCCUGUAGCAAUAUGGAAUAGGAUAGUUUCUACUUUUAAAAUUUUGUAUAUUAAAAACCUCAAUUUUAUGCACAUAAUUCUUAGCAAUUCUGUUUUCGUUGUUGAAUAAAUUUUGAAAUUUUAAUAUAUUAUUAAAUAAUAAAUUUUUAUGUUCCUCUUUGCAUAUCAUUUGUCUUAUAAUUAUCUUCAGUUUAUCUAUAUAUGUCACUUCUUUAUCACGUUCAAGGUAUCUAUUAUCUUCAUUUUGGCAUAAUCUAUUAUUAAAAGUAGAAACUUUCUUUUCAAUAUUUGAAUCAUUAAUGUCUUGUUUUUUAUUAUAAUUUGUAAAGGUUUCUUUUAAAGACAAAUCAUACUGAGGUAUUCUCUCUUCAUUUUUCAAAUAAUUUGGUAUAUCACUACUUUCGUCAUUGGCAAAAUUAUCACAAUUAUAAUUUUCAUUUAAGUUUAUGACUUCAAAAUAAUCAAUUCUUUUAUGUGGAUUCUUUAUAGGAGAUUCAUAUAUACUUGUAUCCUCUAUGGGCUUUACUUGAAUAGCUUCCAUAAUAGUAUCAUUGAAUGAAAUAUUAUUAGUUAUUUUCUUAUCAUGAUUAUAGGUAUUAUUUUCAACUGUAUUAUCUAUUGAAUCUAUCAUUUCUGUUAAUAAUUUGCCAUGUCGGAAAACCUUCUUGUUUGAUAUAUCAAAUACUAAUUCUAAAUUAUGCAUGGUUUCAAUGCCUAGAAUAGCCUCGUAUAUCAUGUCUUUAACCACCACAAAUUCUAUAUUGAAAUUUUGGUCACCGAUUUGAAUUUUUAAAUGUAUAAUUCUAUUACUUUGAGCUAAUUUUUUAUUGGUAUAUCCUAUCAUGUUGAUUUGUGGUAUUUUCAUUAUUGAUUGUUGGUAAUUUGGUAUUUUUUUAAUUAUAGUCUCAUUAAUCAGAUUCACCUCACUUCCUGUGUCAUUCAACAUUUGAAAUUUUACAUUAUUACAGUUACAAUUUAAAUAUAAAAGUGUGGUUUUUUCUAUCGGUUCAGUUUCAUCAUCUAACGUUAUAAAUUCUCUAGGAUGAGCGUAAGCAGUUUUUAAUUGUCCGAGGCAUGUAUUUGAAAAUCCUGUUCAGCAUGAAGUGUUAUUCUGUCUGGAUCUGUUUUAUAUGUUCCGGUUUUUGGUUUUUCUGUCGUGUCUACGUUUUCUCUAUAUCGGUUAGAAUUUUGUCUAUAUGUAUUUUGUCUGUUAGUAUGGUUAUAAGUCUGAUUGUUCUGAUAUUGUCUGUCUCUAUCCUGAAAUUUAUUGUUAUUGUAAUUGGUAUUAUGUGAAUUUUGAUUAGUCCUUUCAUUAUUGUUAUACCUAUUCUGAUUUGCUUUAUGAUUAUUAUUCCAACGGUUAUUAUUAUAUUGAUUUUCCUGUCUAUUAUAUCGAUUAUAUUGUCCAUUUUGGUAAUUCUGAUGGUAUUUGCUUGGAUCAUUAGAUAUAUAAUUUCUCUGAUAUUCAUUUGGAUUAGUUCUAUUAUUACUAUUCAAUAUGCCUUGUACUCGUUGCAGAUAUUUAAUCAAUUCCUUUAAAGUAAGUAUCUCUGUAAUCAUAAUAUGUUGACAAAUUUGUUCCGGGUAGUGAUUUGCCAAUGCUUGAAUUAACUCAUACUCUGUUAAUUUAGGACUUAGGUAUCGUGCAUUUUGAUAUAUUUUCAGAGUAUAUUCAACGUAACUAUCUUUAAAAUGUUCACGAUAUUUUCCAGUUACCAAUAAUUUUUUAAUUUCUGAUUGGAUAGAAGCACUCCAAUAAAAUGAUAAGAAAUUUUUUUCAAAUUCUUCAAAAUUUUCAAAUUCUUCUGAUUGAAUGGACCACCACAAAUUUGCCUCUCCUAUCAUAGUUUUAUCUAUUACAUUUUUAAUCACUUGCCAAUUUUGAGAAAUGUUUUUCAAUUUUUCUAAAUAUGAAUUUGGAUUCAAGUUUUUGUAAUUACCAUCAAACUUAAACUCUAAAUUUUGAUAAUUUUGAAACAACAUUGAACUGGUAUUACUUGAAUUUUGUAAAUUUUGAUAUUCUGAAUGAAGUAUUUUAAUUUGUUCUCUGUUAUUACAAACUGUUUUAUUCAUCAUUUCUAUUGCAGGCCUAAAAUUGAUUGAGAUAUUUUCCGCUUCUUUCUCAAUUUUGUCCAUACAUUCUUGUCUAACUUCCUGUAUUGCUUCAUCGGUGUAUAAAAUUAGAUUUUGUUUAACAUUUUCUAUCGAUUGUUCCAAAUCAUUUCGUAUUUCUUGCUUAUAUUCUCUAAUUUCAGUUUUAAUUGAAUUAAAAUCUUUGGCCAAAUCUGAUUUUUGUACUUGUAAAAAUUUCAUGAUUUGUUCCAAUGUAGUUGUA